AUGCAGAGACUUGUGCUCCUUCUGUCCGUGGCGAUCGCGGCGUCGGCGCAGGGCCCGGCGGUGGCGCCCGCGGCGCCGACGACGCCCACGACCCCGGCGGCGCCCGCUCCUGCCGCCGGCACGACGAACAUCACGGGGGUGCUGGCCAAGGCCGGGCAGUUCAACACCUUCAUCCGGCUGCUCAAGUCGACGGGCGUGGCGGCGCAGAUCGACAACCAGCUCAACAACAGCUUCGGCAGCGGCAUGACGGUGUUCGCGCCCACCGACAACGCCUUCACCUCGCUCGCCUCCGGCACGCUCAACUCGCUCUCCGACAGCCAGAAGAACGCGCUCAUCCAGUACCACGUCCUCUCCACCGCCAUCCCCAUGUCGCAGUUCGACACCGUCAGCAACCCGCUCCGCACGCAGGCCGGCAGCACCUCCCCGGGCCAGUACCCGCUCAACGUCACCGCCGAGGGCCAGCAGGUCAACAUCACCACCGGGGUCGUCAACGCCACCGUCGACAACACGCUCUACACCGGCGACCAGCUCGUCGUCUACCAGGUCAACAAGGUGCUCCUGCCCAUGGCCAUCGCCGGCACGCCCGCGCCCGCGCCCGCGCCGCUCGCGCCCACCAAGACCAAGGGGAAGACGCCCACCUCGACGGUCGCCGACGCGCCCGAGGCCGAAGCGUCGACGGACACGUCCCUCGCGGCGCCCGCGCGGAUCGUCACAGGGGGUGGUGUCGCGGUGGUUCACGUGCUUGGCCUCCUAGCCUGCGUCUGGUGGGGGCUGCUGUGA
rnacentral:rRNA from 1 species